rnacentral:rRNA from 1 species
UACGUAGGGUGCAAGCGUUGUCCGGAAUUAUUGGGCGUAAAGAGCUCGUAGGCGGUCUGUCGCGUCUGCUGUGAAAACUCGGGGCUUAACCCCGGGCCUGCAGUGGGUACGGGCAGACUAGAGUGCGGUAGGGGAGACUGGAAUUCCUGGUGUAGCGGUGAAAUGCGCAGAUAUCAGGAGGAACACCGGUGGGCGAAGGCGGGUCUCUGGGCCGUAACU